AGAUCUUUAACCUGCAAUUCAGAAAACCAAGAUUUGUUAGGGCACAUAUGAAAUGAGCAACCAGUGUCAAGAAUCCACUCAUUUGCUGUAGUGGAAAGGGUAAUAUUCAGGGCUUCAGCUUCUUGGAAUUGUUCUGCAAUAUCAGCAGCAUCAGUUGACCCCUUUUGAGCCUGCUUUCUCUUCCAGCUGUAGCAAUCCUUCUUGAGGUGUCCAGGUUUCUUG
rnacentral:lncRNA from 1 species